UACUAAAAUGCACACUUUUUUCAUCUUUUUAUGUAACCUCAUGUAAAACUGUGAAAAUCAUUGUGCUGCAGUAGCGAGUAUCACAGCAACGAAUAGCAAUAUUAAAUCACAAAAUGGACCGAAACGAAAUUCGUGCUGAGUUAAUGAAGACUGACUUAGCUUACAAACUUCUAAAGGAAAACACAACAGAAGAUUACCAAUCCAAUAAAACAAUAAUAAUUCCACCUCGGCAAUUGGCCAUUGCACCGAAUUUCAAUGAAACUAGACCCAAUCCCAUAAAGAAACAGUGUACAAAAUGCGGAAAGUUGUUUGACAAUGUGUCGAAACAUGAAGGUUGUUUCGGUAAAAACGAAUGCCAUAUUUGCCGGAUCGACUUUGGAAACCAGCUAGAUCACAUUAAACAUGUAAACGAGUUUCGAAAAAAAAUGAAGUGCUGCUCAUGUCGACGUUUUGGUAAAACGGUAUUUGAUAAAAAAGAAAGUUCCAGAGUCCAAUUUGAUAGGCACAUCAGUGUGUGUUUUAAUCGAAACAAAAAGUAACCGCUUAAAAUUGCAUUCACAUGUAGCAUCCGUGCAGAACCAACAUUUUUUCAUCGUUUCACCGAAAAUCAACAACAAUUGAAAGGAGAUGCAUGCCAUUCCAAUAACUUACGCAUGUGCUCAAAAUAAUUACAAUUUAAAAACAAAAAUAUUCAUAAAUUCAAUAAUUCUCCCACAUUCAAAUAUUUAUCGAGAGAAAAAAAAACACACACACACAAACUGUCGUGCUUCAAUUUAGAUUAUUUUCAUGAACAACUUGUUGUAAUUGAUUUGUUUAAAUUUGCAGCAGAAAAUAUGCUUAAGCGCGAUUGUUUAUUUUCAUUAAAAAAUUCGACGACUAGAAAACUUGAAUGGAGAGUCUUAUCUAAACAAAUAUCAACAUUUUAAUAUAUUCCAUAAAUAAAUAAAUAAAUAAAUAAACAUUUUGCCGAUAUCGGUAUUUUCUCUGAAAA